rnacentral:rRNA from 1 species
AGCGGCGCACGGGUGCGUAACGCGUAUACAAUCUACCUUUUGCUACGGGAUAGCCCAGAGAAAUUUGGAUUAAUACCGCAUAGUAUAUAGAGAUCGCACGGUUUUUAUAUUAAAGGUUACGGCAAAAGAUGAGUAUGCGUCCUAUUAGCUAGAUGGUAAGGUAACGGCUUACCAUGGCAACGAUAGGUAGGGGCCCUGAGAGGGGGAUCCCCCACACUGGUACUGAGACACGGACCAGACUCCUACGGGAGGCAGCAGUGAGGAAUAUUGGACAAUGGAGGCAACUCUGAUCCAGCCAUGCCGCGUGCAGGAAGACUGCCCUAUGGGUUGUAAACUGCUUUUAUACAGGAAGAAACACCUCUACGUGUAGAGGCUUGACGGUACUGUAAGAAUAAGGAUCGGCUAACUCCGUGCCAGCAGCCGCGGUAAUACGGAGGAUCCAAGCGUUAUCCGGAAUCAUUGGGUUUAAAGGGUCCGUAGGUGGAUAAUUAAGUCAGGGGUGAAAGUCUGCAGCUCAACUGUAGAAUUGCCUUUGAUACUGGUUAUCUUGAAUUAUUAUGAAGUGGUUAGAAUAUGUAGUGUAGCGGUGAAAUGCAUAGAUAUUACAUAGAAUACCAAUUGCGAAGGCAGAUCACUAAUAAUAUAUUGACACUGAUGGACGAAAGCGUGGGUAGCGAACAGGAUUAGAUACCCUGGUAGUCCACGCCGUAAACGAUGGAUACUAGCUGUUCGGAUUUAUCUGAGUGGCUAAGCGAAAGUGAUAA